AUGAUUUUUCAGCUUGGGGGAUCUCAUUAGCAUGGACCUCUCAGGACUGCCCUUCCUGGGCCUUAGGACCUUGACAGGCAGGGCGUUUAAGCCUUAGCAGAUUUUGGAGAAACCAAGAAUUUGAGAUUUUUUUUUUUUUUAAGGCGCAGGGUGUGUGUGUGUUGGGGCGGGCGGUGGGAAGCUGAAGAGUUACGUAAUCCUGUUCCACUUUGGCUCCAGAGGGUGAAGUUCUGAAGCGUGGCCAGCAGGGGGCGCUCAGGCCGUGCGUCAGAAUCCCGGCUCGCAGGUUGCCAGGAGCCAAACUCUGGGACAAACAAAACAAAGAACGUUUGUGGCUUAGGCUCUGAACCCGGACAGGCUUCAGCCAGGGCGGCUUGAAACCCAGCCCCGGGGGCCCAGCUAGCAUCUUCCAGGACGCCGUCUUAAUAAGCUUUCUGGAAUCUCUCUCUAGAACCGAAUGGCUUCGUUUGUCCUCUGUGUCCCACAUCUUUGCUCGGGCUCGGCCACUGUUUCUCUACACUGUUCCCAAAUUAAACAUUUUGUGCUUACACAGCUGUUCAGAUGUUGAUUUCUUUCCAAGGAUCGUCACUCUUCCCUCAGUAGCCGAUCCCAACUUAUCCUUGAGUCUCUUCCGUGGUCAUCAGUUCUGCAGCAGUGAUGCAACUUGCAAUCCAGUCCCUUUGGAAACCAUUUCCACAGGAGCUGCCUGGUGAUUCCUUGGAGGUCCGGGCCAUGUGUUUUCUCCUCCCUCCAGCCAGUAUCACAGAGCCAAGCACCUAGCUGUUAUGGCCAAGGAGAGGGAAAGGAAAGCUGCAAUCCGAACAUGGCUUGGUGGGACAGAUGUCUCUUUCCACAUUUGACCACUUGUUCUAUAGCUGGUAACCUUGUACAUGUCCUGCCUCGUACUCUGU